UGGGUUAUGCGUAACUUUUUGAGAAAAUCGCUGGGCGAAAGUCCCCGGACGCUGAGGCAGAGAGUGCCAGCCUUUGCAGGCAGGACCCUUGUGAGAGCACGUACGCGAUUCCUUGUGGAUCGGGGCGAAGACGCGCAAGCGGAGCUCUUAUGCGUCGUGCACCACUAGGCAGCUCGUCCUAGCACAGUCAUGUGGCCGGCGGGCAUAUCGCCCGCUAACAGAACGGGG
rnacentral:RNase_MRP_RNA from 1 species